GACGAACGCUGGCGGCGUGCUUAACACAUGCAAGUCGAACGGAAAGGCCCUGCUUGCAGGGUACUCGAGUGGCGAACGGGUGAGUAACACGUGGGUGAUCUGCCCUGCACUUCGGGAUAAGCUUGGGAAACUGGGUCUAAUACCGGAUAGGAGCCAUCUUUAGUGUGGUGGUUGGAAAGUUGUUUCGGUGUAGGAUGAGCUCGCGGCCUAUCAGCUUGUUGGUGGGGUAAUGGCCUACCAAGGCGGCGACGGGUAGCCGGCCUGAGAGGGUGUACGGCCACAUUGGGACGGAGAUACGGCCCAGACUCCUACGGGAGGCAGCAGUGGGGAAUAUUGCACAAUGGGCGCAAGCCUGAUGCAGCGACGCCGCGUGGGGGAUGAAGGCCUUCGGGUUGUAAACUCCUUUCGCUAGGGACGAAGCUUUGUUGUGACGGUACCUAGAUAAGAAGCACCGGCUAACUACGUG
rnacentral:rRNA from 1 species